ACGAACGCUGGCGGCGUGCUUAACACAUGCAAGUCGAACGGAAAGGCCCUGCUUUUGUGGGGUGCUCGAGUGGCGAACGGGGGAGUAACACGUGAGUAACCUGCCCUUGACUUUGGGAUAACUUCAGGAAACUGGGGCUAAUACCGGAUAGGAGCUCCUGCUGCAUGGUGGGGGUUGGAAAGUUUCGGCGGUUGGGGAUGGACUCGCGGCUUAUCAGCUUGUUGGUGGGGUAGUGGCUUACCAAGGCUUUGACGGGUAGCCGGCCUGAGAGGGUGACCGGCCACAUUGGGACUGAGGUACGGCCCAGACUCCUACGGGAGGCAGCAGUGGGGAAUAUUGCACAAUGAGCGGAAGCCUGAUGCAGCAACGCCGCGUGCGGGAUGACGGCCUUCGGGUUGUAAACCGCUUUCGCCUGUGACGAAGCGUGAGUGACGGUAAUGGGUAAAGAAGCACCGGCUAACUACGUG
rnacentral:rRNA from 1 species